UAGUAUAUACAAUCUUUUAGACUCUUCCAUAAACAGGAGAGCUUCUAGUUUUUUGGCUACCAAAUCCAUGGAGGAGAAAAUAGUGGAGUUCACUUUUUGGUGGCCACUCAAAACAUUCCUUGAGUUGAUUUCUCACGUCUUGGCUGCAUGUGUAGAAGGAAAAAAAAGAAAUUGUGUGAAAUGGCGUUUAUAUGGAAGGUACUCAUACAAGGAAAUAGUGCAGAAUAUGGUAAAUGCAAGCAAAUUGUGACACGGAAUGAAGAAGUUGCAGAGAAAAUUCCGGAAAACAGAGACGGCAAUGGGGCUACCAGUGACUAGAGCAGUUCAAGCUCAGAUGAAUAGUUUCAAGAUAGAAUUUUUGUCAUAAUAAUAUCUCAUGCAGCAAAAUCUGGGACGCCCAUCACACUUUCCUCGCACAGUAAUCACUCAACUUGUUUUCUAUUUUUACUUUUUUACUUUUCAAAAACACCCAACAUCCCGCUCUCUAAAACAUUCCUUGCUUUAUUAAAAUAAUAAUAAUCUUAUAUUUAUUUCUUA